GAGAAAGAUGAAAGACGACUUCUAUGUAUUUUUACCAGAAAUAUCCUCCCUGCUUGGAACCGUUCAUGUGGGCGCAAUGGAUUGGAUAUACCAUACCCGUCGAUCAAAUGGAGAUUGCGAAGAAAACAAUCCUGUGUGGUAUUCCUGCGGUGUCCACAGUACGGGUUGCCCGACAUGCACUGGCAUAUGGUUUGAA